rnacentral:rRNA from 1 species
AGAGUUUGAUCCUGGCUCAGAUUGAACGCUGGCGGCAGGCCUAACACAUGCAAGUCGAGCGGUAGCACAGAGAGCUUGCUCUCGGGUGACGAGCGGCGGACGGGUGAGUAAUGUCUGGGAAACUGCCUGAUGGAGGGGGAUAACUACUGGAAACGGUAGCUAAUACCGCAUAAUGUCGCAAGACCAAAGUGGGGGACCUUCGGGCCUCAUGCCAUCAGAUGUGCCCAGAUGGGAUUAGCUAGUAGGUGGGGUAACGGCUCACCUAGGCGACGAUCCCUAGCUGGUCUGAGAGGAUGACCAGCCACACUGGAACUGAGACACGGUCCAGACUCCUACGGGAGGCAGCAGUGGGGAAUAUUGCACAAUGGGCGCAAGCCUGAUGCAGCCAUGCCGCGUGUGUGAAGAAGGCCUUCGGGUUGUAAAGCACUUUCAGCGGGGAGGAAGGCGGUGAGGUUAAUAACCUCAUCGAUUGACGUUACCCGCAGAAGAAGCACCGGCUAACUCCGUGCCAGCAGCCGCGGUAAUACGGAGGGUGCAAGCGUUAAUCGGAAUUACUGGGCGUAAAGCGCACGCAGGCGGUCUGUCAAGUCGGAUGUGAAAUCCCCGGGCUUAACCUGGGAACUGCAUUCGAAACUGGCAGGCUAGAGUCUUGUAGAGGGGGGUAGAAUUCCAGGUGUAGCGGUGAAAUGCGUAGAGAUCUGGAGGAAUACCGGUGGCGAAGGCGGCCCCCUGGACAAAGACUGACGCUCAGGUGCGAAAGCGUGGGGAGCAAACAGGAUUAGAUACCCUGGUAGUCCACGCCGUAAACGAUGUCGAUUUGGAGGUUGUGCCCUUGAGGCGUGGCUUCCGGAGCUAACGCGUUAAAUCGACCGCCUGGGGAGUACGGCCGCAAGGUUAAAACUCAAAUGAAUUGACGGGGGCCCGCACAAGCGGUGGAGCAUGUGGUUUAAUUCGAUGCAACGCGAAGAACCUUACCUGGUCUUGACAUCCACAGAACUUUCCAGAGAUGGAUUGGUGCCUUCGGGAACUGUGAGACAGGUGCUGCAUGGCUGCCGUCAGCUCGUGUUGUGAAAUGUUGGGUUAAGUCCCGCAACGAGCGCAACCCUUAUCCUUUGUUGCCAGCGGUCCGGCCGGGAACUCAAAGGAGACUGCCAGUGAUAAACUGGAGGAAGGUGGGGAUGACGUCAAGUCAUCAUGGCCCUUACGACCAGGGCUACACACGUGCUACAAUGGCAUAUACAAAGAGAAGCGACCUCGCGAGAGCAAGCGGACCUCAUAAAGUAUGUCGUAGUCCGGAUUGGAGUCUGCAACUCGACUCCAUGAAGUCGGAAUCGCUAGUAAUCGUAGAUCAGAAUGCUACGGUGAAUACGUUCCCGGGCCUUGUACACACCGCCCGUCACACCAUGUGAGUGGGUUGCA